rnacentral:rRNA from 1 species
AGCUCCAAUAGCGUAUACUAAAAUUGUUGCGAUUAAAAAGCUCGUAGUUGGAUUACAGUUCCGGACUGAUGGUACACCUCCCGGUGUUCACUGUCACGCUCCGAACCGCCUGGUACGUAACAGUACAGGCCCCGCUGGCACGCCCGGGGUGCUCUUGAUCGAGUGUCCCGAGUGGCUGGCAAGUUUACUUUGAAAAAAUUAGAGUGCUCAGAGCAGGCUACAUGAAUGGCCUAAAUGUCUAUGCAUGGAAUAAUGGAAUAGGACCUCGGUUCUAUUUUGUCGGUUUUCCUCGGAACCCGAGGUAAUGAUUAAUAGGGACAAGCGGGGGCAUUCGUAUUGCGACGCUAGAGGUGAAAUUCUUGGACCGUCGCAAGACGAACAACUGCGAAAGCAUCUGCCAAGGAUGUUUUCC